UACGAAGGGGGGCUAGCGUUGCUCGGAAUUACUGGGCGUAAAGCGCACGUAGGCGGAUUGUUAAGUCGGGGGUGAAAUCCUGGAGCUCAACUCCAGAACUGCCUUCGAUACUGGCGAUCUCGAGUUCGGGAGAGGUGAGUGGAACUGCGAGUGUAGAGGUGAAAUUCGUAGAUAUUCGCAAGAACACCAGUGGCGAAGGCG
rnacentral:rRNA from 1 species